rnacentral:rRNA from 1 species
AGGUUAAGUUAACAAGGGCGCAUGGUGAAUGCCUUGGCACUAGGAGCCGAUGAAGGACGGGACUAACACCGAUAUGCUUCGGGGAGCUGUACGUAAGCUAUGAUCCGGAGAUUUCCGAAUGGGGCAACCCAGCAGUUUUAAUCAACUGUUACCACUAGAUGAAUUCAUAGUCUAGUUGGAGGUAAACGCUGUGAACUGAAACAUCUCAUUAGCAGCAGGAAUAUAAAGAAAUUUCGAUUCCCUAAGUAGCGGCGAGCGAACGGGG